GGUGGGGGGGUCUGUUUUUGUUCUGCAUGCUUGCUAAUAGGAAGCAGACUUUAGUGGAGGUAGCCGGACAGGAGAAGAGGGUCGUGACCGCCCUCUAGUGCAUUCAUCACCAUCGUCUUUGACUGAGGCAUUGACUGACAGUGGGAAAACGAGAUGCCGGGCAAAAGGAGAGGGGCAAACAGGAGGGGUUAUCCAACUGGGGAAGCUGACGUUGCCAUGGGAACCUGACCCGAGAUUUCAUCGGCAACGGGGCCGUCACGGCUACAAGUUGCCACAAGGAUCGGACCUGGCAAGGGGGACGCAACGGAGGCCCGAUAAAUCACUUUUAGGUCGAAUUCCGUUGAGGCGCACAAACAACUCAAUUUGCUUCCUGUUCACAUUCUUGGAUUGCUCCCAGCAGGAAUAUGGCCACAAAAAGUGUGUGUGUGUGUGUGUGUGUGUGUGUCUGUGUGUGUGUAAUAGCGUACAUCUUUUAGCUUUUGUUUUAUUUUGAUCCCCCCCCAAAAAGAAAACAUCACUUGGAUUUCGUUUUUCACAUUGUAAAAUAACUAUUUUAAAUCUAUGUAAAAAAUAAUGGGUUUAUCUUUUUAAAAUUUGUUUUCGUCAAAGUUUUUGACUUCAUUUAAACUUUUAUGCUUUGAUUAGACAUAUUUUCUGAUCUUUUGUCUUUUGGAUUAUGACAAAUAGCCCAAAUUACAAAUAAAAAAACAGUACUAAUAAAACCUAGUUUACACGAAAACAAAAUUCAACUGAAAAGGAGCCGAGCGAAAAAUUACAGAAAAUUGUAUUUCCACCCAAAAAAAACAGUUUUGUCUUUUUAAGGAUUUGGCUGCAACAACGAGGCGCUCUAUUGGGGCCACGCAUAGCAUGAUAGCCUUUUCCACAUGCUUCCUGUUACGUUUGAGCUCCCCUAAAAAAAAUCCUCCUUCUUACUUAUACUGUCAUUCUCCCCAUGACAUGCACACACUCACGGCAAACAACAAGGCGCUCCCCGAAAGGAAUAUAACAUUUUGCAAGCUUUUUAACUGCGAUAACUUUUGUGUGUGCGUUGCUGCUGCCAAGUUACGUCAUUGCGCUGCAUAUUUGCUUCGACAUAUGAAGGCGGCAGAAGGGAGGUGUUGGACGAGUGACGCUACUGAUGAUCUACUGAUGAUCCAUUUUAACCCAGCGCAUCUUGUGCCCACUCUUAGUGGGGCCCACACAUUUCGCUCUGGAUUUUGACAGCACGCGCAGGAGGAGAGCGAGGAUAUUUUCUGUUCCAUUGCAGAAAGGCACACCCGCAGAAAAUGUCAACGUCCGCGCCUGCAAGUUCGAAAGGCAGCUAGCUAUGUUUUCUUACAUCUGGACUCAGUUUGGGGGACUUUCUAUUACUCACACGCGCCCGUCAAGCUAGAACAGAAACAUGCUUGCUGGUGGCUGAAGAAAGUUGAAUUCUGGAACAUUUGCCAGCAAACAUAUAUGUGGUUGUAAUAUUGGCCGAUGCAAAAGUAAUGCAGUGAACCCCAGCUUUUUUUUUUUUGCUAGUUGUACAAAACAGUACACGGGUCCAAUUUUAUGGGUAUCAGUGGGUCUAUUGUAACUGAUGCUCAUUUCAAUUCUGUAGGUAAGCGUUUCAGUUCUUGCAGGUAAAACAAGGUAUUUGGCUGUUUAAUUUAUAUUUUUGUGUAAUUUAUAUGUCUGAAGCAAGCACUCUUGGCUUCUUUUUGGAGAUGUGAAUUUGACACAUACGUAUCCGGAAAUGCAACCUUGAUUGACAGACAGCUGAACAGGUGGAUUAAAUGGAUCCAAGCGGAGUGUGAAGGAAAUUCAAGAAAACUUGGACUCUUGCGGAGCAUCUCGACCAGUCGGCCCAGUCUGCCCUCCAGCUCGCCGGACCUGAGGCAGACGGACGCCAGCUCGCCCUCCAACUCCUCCAGGACGCCCAGCGAGUGUCGGGACAGGUCCGAGAGUU